rnacentral:rRNA from 1 species
GGCUUUUUGGUGAUUCAUGAUAACUUUACGGAUCGCAUAGCCUUGCGCUGGCGACGGUUCAUUCAAAUUUCUGCCCUAUCAACUUUCGAUGGUAAGGUAUUGGCUUACCAUGGUUUCAACGGGUAACGGGGAAUUAGGGUUCGAUUCCGGAGAGGGAGCCUGAGAAACGGCUACCACAUCCAAGGAAGGCAGCAGGCGCGCAAAUUACCCAAUCCCGACACGGGGAGGUAGUGACAAUAAAUACUGAUACAGGGCUCUUUUGGGUCUUGUAAUUGGAAUGAGUACAAUUUAAACCUCUUAACGAGGAACAAUUGGAGGGCAAGUCUGGUGCCAGCAGCCGCGGUAAUUCCAGCUCCAAUAGCGUAUAUUAAAGUUGUUGCAGUUAAAAAGCUCGUAGUUGAAACUUGGGCCUGGCUGGCGGGUCCGCCUCACCGCGUGCACUCGUCCGGCCGGGCCUUCCUUCUGAAGAACCUCAUGCCCUUCACUGGGCGUGCUGGGGAAUCAGGACUUUUACUUUGAAAAAAUUAGAGUGUUCAAAGCAGGCCUUUGCUCGAAUACGUUAGCAUGGAAUAAUAAAAUAGGGCGUGCGUUUCUAUUUUGUUGGUUUCUAGAGACGCCGCAAUGAUUAACAGGAACAGUCGGGGGCAUCAGUAUUCCGUUGUCAGAGGUGAAAUUCUUGGAUUUACGGAAGACUAACUACUGCGAAAGCAUUUGCCAAGGAUGUUUUCAUUAAUCAGUGAACGAAAGUUAGGGGAUCGAAGACGAUCAGAUACCGUCGUAGUCUUAACCGUAAACUAUGCCGACUAGGGAUCGGGCGAUGUUCUUUUUCUGACUCGCUCCGUGCACCCUUAGAAAAGAAAGUCAAAAGUUCUUUUGGGUUUCCGGGCAGAG